rnacentral:rRNA from 1 species
AUGGGCAACGGCCUCUCCCCUUGCUUGCGCGCCCUGGCCGUGCACGGCAAGGGAGCGGAGGCGAGGCUGGUGUUCUGGGGCGGGCAGACGAGGCUCGCCGCAGCUUCCGGCGGGCGGUUCACCACGGCCGGCGACGUCACGGCGGAGGCCCCCGACCACCUCGUCUGCUCCGGCGACUCCUUCUUCAUCGGCCUCCCGAUCCCCGCGCUGCCGCCGGGCGAGGAGCUGCGGGCGGGGCGGACCUACUUCGUGCUCCCCGCGGCCCGGUUCUCCAGCUGCCAGGCGCUCACCGCGGCCUCGCUCGCGUCGCUGUCGCCGGCCCCGACCAAGGUGUCGCUCGCCGGCGAGUCGUCCCCGUUCGAGUACGUCACGGGCGCCGACGGCAUGGCGCUCAUCAGGGUCCUCCCGGAGUUCAUCGAAAAGGUGAUCACGUCCGACGGUGGCGGCGACAAGAAGUGCGGCGCGGCGGCGCCGGAACAGCUGUGCAGCACGCCGGAGCUGAGGAAGCACUACAUGCAGCUGGUGGGGGCGAGGCAGCAGCGGCCGUGGUCGCCGGGGCUCGAGACGAUAUCGGAGGCCAGGAAGGGGAGAAGGAUGCCGACAUGCCGUCGUCGGUGA